rnacentral:precursor_RNA from 1 species
ACGCCAUGAGGUGCUCAGAAACGGAUCGAUCAACCAGCAGUAGCAAGCGCGGUUGUGCAUCAUGCAUGCAUGUUUGUUCUUCUUUUCUUUUGAUUUGUUGUUGGUCGUUUAAUUUGUCGCCGCCGCCGCCGUCAUGGUUAGUUGCGACGACGAUGGCUGGAUGGAA